rnacentral:rRNA from 1 species
CCUACGGGGGGCUGCAGUGGGGAAUAUUGGACAAUGGGCGAAAGCCUGAUCCAGCCAUGCCGCGUGUGUGAAGAAGGCCUUCGGGUUGUAAAGCACUUUCAGUGGGGAAGAAAGCCUUGGGGCUAAUACCCUCGAGGAAGGACAUCACCCACAGAAGAAGCACCGGCUAACUCCGUGCCAGCAGCCGCGGUAAUACGGAGGGUGCGAGCGUUAAUCGGAAUUACUGGGCGUAAAGCGCGCGUAGGCGGUCUGAUAAGCCGGUUGUGAAAGCCCCGGGCUCAACCUGGGAACGGCAUCCGGAACUGUCAGGCUAGAGUGCAGGAGAGGAAGGUAGAAUUCCCGGUGUAGCGGUGAAAUGCGUAGAGAUCGGAGGAAUACCAGUGGCGAAGGCGGCCUUCUGGACUGACACUGACGCUGAGGUGCGAAAGCGUGGGUAGCAAACAGGAUUAGAUACCCCAGUAGUC